rnacentral:rRNA from 1 species
GACAGAGGCCUCGAGCGUUAGGCGGAAUCACUGGGCUUAAAGCGUGUGUAGGCGGGCCCGUAAGUGUCUUGUGAAAUCCCACGGCUCAACCGUGGAACUGCUGGGCAUACUGCGGGUCUUGGGCCAACUAGGGGCAGCCGGAACAAGCGGUGGAGCGGUGAAAUGCGUAGAUAUCGCUUGGAACGCCGAAGGUGAAAAACAGGGCUGCUGGGGUUGCGCCGACGCUGAGACACGAAAGCCAGGGGAGCAAACGGG